UACGUAGGGGGCUAGCGUUGUCCGGAUUUACUGGGCGUAAAGAGCGCGCAGGCGGUCGUUCAAGUCGCGUGUGAAAGCCCCCGGCUCAACUGGGGAGGGUCACGCGAUACUGAUCGACUCGAAGUCAGGAGAGGGAAGUGGAAUUCCCGGUGUAGUGGUGAAAUGCGUAGAUAUCGGGAGGAACACCAGUGGCGAAGGCGACUUCCUGGCCUGUUCUUGACGCUGAGGCGCGAAAGCUAGGGGAGCAAACGGG
rnacentral:rRNA from 1 species